rnacentral:rRNA from 1 species
AGAGUUUGAUCAUGGCUCAGAUUGAACGCUGGCGGCAGGCCUAACACAUGCAAGUCGAACGGUAACAGGAAGCAGCUUGCUGCUUCGCUGACGAGUGGCGGACGGGUGAGUAAUGUCUGGGAAACUGCCUGAUGGAGGGGGAUAACUACUGGAAACGGUAGCUAAUACCGCAUAACGUCGCAAGACCAAAGUGGGGGACCUUCGGGCCUCAUGCCAUCAGAUGUGCCCAGAUGGGAUUAGCUAGUAGGUGGGGUAACGGCUCACCUAGGCGACGAUCCCUAGCUGGUCUGAGAGGAUGACCAGCCACACUGGAACUGAGACACGGUCCAGACUCCUACGGGAGGCAGCAGUGGGGAAUAUUGGACAAUGGGCGAAAGCCUGAUCCAGCCAUGCCGCGUGUGUGAAGAAGGUCUUCGGAUUGUAAAGCACUUUAAGUUGGGAGGAAGGGCAGUAAAUUAAUACUUUGCUGUUUUGACGUUACCGACAGAAUAAGCACCGGCUAACUCUGUGCCAGCAGCCGCGGUAAUACAGAGGGUGCAAGCGUUAAUCGGAUUUACUGGGCGUAAAGCGCGCGUAGGCGGCUAAUUAAGUCAAAUGUGAAAUCCCCGAGCUUAACUUGGGAAUUGCAUUCGAUACUGGUUAGCUAGAGUGUGGGAGAGGAUGGUAGAAUUCCAGGUGUAGCGGUGAAAUGCGUAGAGAUCUGGAGGAAUACCGAUGGCGAAGGCAGCCAUCUGGCCUAACACUGACGCUGAGGUGCGAAAGCAUGGGGAGCAAACAGGAUUAGAUACCCUGGUAGUCCAUGCCGUAAACGAUGAUUGCUAGGUGUGGGGGGACUGACCCCUUCCGUGCCGGAGUAAACACAAUAAGCAAUCCACCUGGGGAGUACGACCGCAAGGUUGAAACUCAAAGGAAUUGACGGGGGC